GAAGGCAAAUGAUGUUAAAAUUUAUUGCUUAUAUAUACUGAAACAUCAAAUGUAGAUUAAUGAACUCCGCUUAUUAUCUGAUGCCUUU
rfam:Gossypium hirsutum cultivar TM-1 unplaced genomic scaffold scaffold2838.1, whole genome shotgun sequence